UACAGAGGUCCCAAGCGUUGUUCGGAUUCACUGGGCGUAAAGGGUGCGUAGGUGGCGAGGUAAGUCGGAUGUGAAAGCUCGGAGCUCAACUCCGAAAUGGCAUUGGAAACUACCUUGCUCGAGGGUUGGAGGGGGGACUGGAAUUCUCGGUGUAGCAGUGAAAUGCGUAGAUAUCGAGAGGAACACCAGUGGCGAAGGCACUCUGCUGGGCCGACACUGACACUGAGAGACGAAAGCUAGGGGAGCGAAUGGG
rnacentral:rRNA from 1 species